rnacentral:tRNA from 1 species
GGAGAGUUGGCAGAGUGGUCGAUCGCGCACGCCUCGAAAGCGUGUGACCCUUUACCGGGUCCGAAGGUUCAAAUCCUUCACUCUCCGCCA